AAAUAUGUCAUAUUUGUUGUAUGUAAAGAUUAUACACUAUAAAGUGAUAAAAUAAAUUGUAUUUGUUUUAUGUAAAGAGAGAAAGAUAUGGCUCAUAAGUUUGUGUAUGCUAUAAUUUUAUUCAUCUUCCUAUUUCUUGUUGCUAAAAAUGUUAAGGGAUAUGUUGUUUGUAGAACUGUUGAUGAUUGCCCACCAGAUACUCGGGAUCUAAGGUAUAGGUGCCUUAAUGGUAAAUGUAAAUCGUAUAGAUUGUCCUACGGAUAGCAUGAGUCUCAUACUCAAGAUAUGACAAUUACACCAUGCAUUGAAGAGUGAGUUCUUACGCUAGCAAAAAUAAAUAUGAAAUAUAUAUUUUGCUAAAAUAUUUUAUAAUUACAUUGUAGUUAUCGUCUUGGAUUCCAAUAGUUGUAUUUCUAUUUAUCACCAUGCCUUUGAUUUAAGAAUAUGACAUUAUAUUUACAGUGAUACCACAUAUAACUUCAAUUUUAUAUCAUAAUAUUGUCACGUUUAUGAAUUUUUGAACAAUGUCAUUGAUGUUUCUUUUGAA